rnacentral:rRNA from 1 species
CAGCCGCCACGGUAAUACGGAGGGUGCAAGCGUUAAUCGGAAUUACUGGGCGUAAAGCGCACGCAGGCGGUCUGACAAGUCAGAUGUGAAAUCCCCGGGCUUAACCUGGGAACUGCAUUUGAAACUGUCAGGCUGGAGUCUUGUAGAGGGGGGUAGAAUUCCAGGUGUAGCGGUGAAAUGCGUAGAGAUCUGGAGGAAUACCGGUGGCGAAGGCGGCCCCCUGGACAAAGACUGACGCUCAGGUGCGAAAGCGUGGGGAGCAAACAGGAUUAGAUACCCGGGUAUCCUGUCUCUUAUACAC